rnacentral:rRNA from 1 species
UACGUAGGGGGCAAGCGUUGUCCGGAUUUAUUGGGCGUAAAGAGCGUGUAGGCGGUUAGGUAGGUCCGUUGUGAAAACUCGAGGCUCAACCUCGAGACGCCGAUGGAAACCAUCUAACUAGAGUCCGGAAGAGGAGAGUGGAAUUCCUGGUGUAGCGGUGAAAUGCGCAGAUAUCAGGAAGAACACCUAUGGCGAAGGCAGCUCGCUGGGACGGUACUGACGCUGAGGCGCGAAAGCGUGGGGAGCGAGCAGG